ACGGGUGAGUAACGCGUGGGAAUCUACCUAGUUCUACGGAACAACACAGGGAAACUUGUGCUAAUACCGUAUACGCCCUAAGGGGGAAAGAUUUAUCGGAAUUAGAUGAGCCCGCGUAAGAUUAGCUAGUUGGUGGGGUAAUGGCCUACCAAGGCGACGAUCUUUAGCUGGUCUGAGAGGAUGAUCAGCCACACUGGGACUGAGACACGGCCCAGACUCCUACGGGAGGCAGCAGUGGGGAAUAUUGGACAAUGGGCGCAAGCCUGAUCCAGCCAUGCCGCGUGAGUGAUGAAGGCCUUAGGGUUGUAAAGCUCUUUCAGUAGGGAAGAUAAUGACGGUACCUACAGAAGAAGCCCCGGCUAACUUCGUGCCAGCAGCCGCGGUAAUACGAAGGGGGCUAGCGUUGUUCGGAUUUACUGGGCGUAAAGCGCACGUAGGCGGAUUGUUAAGUCGGGGGUGAAAUCCUGGAGCUCAACUCCAGAACUGCCUUCGAUACUGGCAAUCUCGAGUCCGGAAGAGGUGAGUGGAACUCCUAGUGUAGAGGUGGAAUUCGUAGA
rnacentral:rRNA from 13 species